rnacentral:lncRNA from 1 species
GAAAUAAUGUGAUAAUAAUUAUAUUAAAUAUAAAUAUUAUCUAGAUGAUAAUAUUCUUUUUUAAACUCUCAACUAUAUUUUAUCGUAUUUUACACGUUGUAUAAUUAAAUUGUAUUUAAAUUUUUAUAUUAUGUAUUUAACGACUCAAGAUUGAUAAUGUAUACGUCACAUUAAAAUUUAAGAAAAACUUUAAAAUAUAUCAAGAAAUUAUUGUUCAGUAAAAAUCCCAAAAACAAAUCAGAUAUAAGAGUUAAUCAGAGAAAAAUUAUUCGUCAGUUAUAGUAAUUAGGGUUUCUUCCCCCCGCCCCCUUUUUAAGAAAAUGUUUAGAACUCGGAAACGCUAAAUUGAGCCAAUAUUUGUUUGACAGAAGGUUUAGAUUAAUCAAAACGAACACCAAAACUUAAACAGAUUAGAAACUUUCAGAUUUAGAAACUUUAGGGUUUUUAGAUUAAAAAUUUAGGGUUUUACCCUUUUAAGAAUCAAAACAAUUCAACAAUAAACAAUAUAGAGAUUUUUAGAAAAUCUAUUUGGAGAGAUACAACUACAAUCGUUUGAUACAUUCAAGAAGUAGAAAAAUUUCAGAUAAACCUAACGAACAAAUGAAAAAGAAUAAUAAAGAAAAACAAAAAAUAAAAAUCAAUCAAUUAAUCGGUAGAAGUAUGAUAUGGAGGGUGAAGAAUCGAUUGAUCGGAGUAGAUUAGUCGAAAUCGAAAUAGAAAUCAAGGAUUUUGGCAGAGAAGAGGGUUAGGGUUGAGAGAAAUUUGGGAGAGAGAGAUCAAAUUCGGCAGAUGAGAGAGAAG